AAAAGGUAGGUAAUUAACUAAUUACCAGAACCGCCAAUCAGAGAACUCACCGUUUGACUCAAAUCGUCGAGUGUCAAAACCCUACUAAGAUCCCCAAAUCAUAAACCCUAGCAAUCUCGCCAAAUUCAGUUUCAUUUAAUUCCAACAAUACAAAGCUAUUCAAAACCAGAAAUCCUAACACUGUAUCAUCCCUGAAAAGCUUCGCGAAGAUGGGAAAAGAAACAGCACUGUAAAGAUCGAAUGUUCAUGACGAAGACGGACUGGGGCGACGGCGCUUAAUCUAAAGAAAAUGGGAAAAUUUUCAAACGCCGUUUGUAGGAAUUUUAUGAUUCAAGGUGGUGAUUCAACUGUUGCUGGCAGAGGAAGUGAAUCCAUGUGGUUAAAGUCUUUUGAAAAUGGACUUUAAUUUGUUCACUCAGGAAAAGUGUUGUUAGUAAGUAAACAGUUCCUCAUUCUCUACAACUCUGCAAAUCAAAUAAACAUCAAACGGACAGUUUCUGGUGAUGUUCAAAGUAUCAGCUAUGGAGAAGGUUCCUGUCGAUGACAAUGAUCAACCUCUGGAGGAGAUUAAAAUAAUUAGUCACAAUCUUUGUGAUUCCACACAUGGAACCAGAGGAAGAGGGAGAGGCAGAGAAGGGAAAAGGAUAAGGUUGGGCCUUGAUAUAGCAAUCCAGGUACUGGAACAGUAGAAUCUGAAGCCGUGGGUGGGAUUGUUAAGUAUUUAAAAGGCUAGGAGUAGCGGAGUGAGACUGCUGCUGCUGAUACCAGUCUAACAGCAGUUUCUAUAACAAUAAGAGGGAAAUGAAGUGGUAAAAAGAAGAGGAAGGAAAAAUCAGCAUCCUUCCUUUCACUUGUAUCUUUGGUCGUAUAAAUGAAGUUGUAAUGAAUAUGGAUCAGAUUUUUUUGUCCUUUCAGUUCUCAUAAGAUAACACUUUUAUUCCCUGUUAUUCAAUUAUAAGAAACUGAUUUUGUCCAAAUGAUCUCUCUUUCUCUGAACUUUGAUUUCCAUGAAAUUGGAUGUAUUUUCUAAGUUUUCUGGUUUCUUUUCCAUUCUGUACUUGUUUCUUCCAAACCAGUUUCUUUCAAAAUGCUAGUUGGGACCCAAGGUACAUUUCCCGUUUUCAAUAAUGUAUUUAAAAUUACAAUUCUGUAUACCUGCUCUAGCAUUUGUUGGGACAUCCCAUGUGUACGGCCUUCUGUGACCAGCAUAAUUUUACUUGCAUUCAUACAAUUUCCUGCACAAUUUGAGUCUCAAGCAAUGUGGAGCUCCAUCAAUGCUCAUUCUCAGUUCAUUGCUAUAGAAGAGGUUAACUUUUGACACAUUGCAUGCUUGCCACAUGCUGGUGAUCCCUUUUGACUGGUUCACAACAGGUUCAGAUGUCAGGUAAGUGUGACUGUCUUUUAGCAAUUUUUCGUGUAUAAGUUGUAUGCCAGUAUUUUCAUAUAGGAGUUUUCCUUGAGAAUAUGAUUAAUUCUCAUACUGCUGCAGCCUUUCAUUAAAACCAUCUAUUCUGUACUACAGAAUAAUGUAUCUGAACUUGUGGAAUGAGUUCAAACCUUUCUUGAACUGCACACUGACAAGUCAGGAUGGAAAUUCCUUUCUAGGUUUCAUUUGGUAGGGAUCAUACUGUGGUUGCUACAUGCAUUACUUGAAUCCUUUUACUAAUUGAUUGUCAAUUAUACUGUAAACUCAAGGUCCUGCCAUACAUCUAGUAUAGGGUUGUGAGACUGAUGAACUAUGCAGUGAUUAAUUGCAUACGAUAUUGUCCACGCAAUCAGUUACAUGUUAAGCUUAUUUUUAAUGUCAACAAUUGUCGGCCCAUAAGGUAUUUGAUUAGCCACAUCCUCCACACAUCAAACAGAUUACCAGUUUUCUCAGGUUGGAUUGGCAUCAGCAGGGAUUUUGCUGCUGAGUUAGCAUUUAGAGAAUUGGAAAUGGUUACUACUGCUGUACUUACAAAACAAAACACUAUAUAAAAGACAGUGGAAAUCAGAUCAUCCUAAAAUCUAUCAAAUCUCUGAGGUUUGUGCAUUUAAAAGAAAAAAAGAUGGUCCAUUUGACACUCAAUUAUCUGACAUCUUACAAAUGCAUUUCCAAAGAACUUAUGUUUUCUCCAUUUUGCUAUUCACUCUUAGAAUCUUUGCUCAUUGCUCUACGUCAAUAUCCAGAGAAGACAAUAUGAUUAUAUGGCAGUUGGAUAAAAGACAGACAAUUGGUGGCCCACCAGCUGCAGAAUUCUCAACUAAACAGUUUCUGAUAACAUAAUGAGUAUGUCAAUUCAGAAUUCAUCUUUCAAGCUGUCUUUGAUUGUAUGUAUCUACUCAAACUCUUCAGAAUAAGAAGAAGAAGGGCAGGCUGCUUUUUGCUUUAAAGCUGAUUUUCUACCCAACUUUAAAAGAGGUAGAAAUUUGCUUUUUCCUCUUUUCUUUUCCAUUGUCCUUCAAGUUUUAACACCUGCUACUUUUUUUCCACUAUUGAUCAACAACUUGUUUCUCAUAAGAUUGUGGAAACAAAAAUUUAGUGUCUUUUUCCCAUGAAA